rnacentral:rRNA from 1 species
AACGAACGCUGGCGGCAUGCCUAACACAUGCAAGUCGAACGAGACCUUCGGGUCUAGUGGCGCACGGGUGCGUAACGCGUGGGAACCUGCCCUUAGGUUCGGAAUAACUCCCCGAAAGGGGUGCUAAUACCGGAUAAUGUCUUCGGACCAAAGAUUUAUCGCCUUUGGAUGGGCCCGCGUUGGAUUAGCUAGUUGGUAGGGUAAAAGCCUACCAAGGCGAGGAUCCAUAGCUGGUCUGAGAGGAUGAUCAGCCACACUGGGACUGAGACACGGCCCAGACUCCUACGGGAGGGAGCAGUGGGGAAUAUUGGGCAAUGGGCGAAAGCCUGAUCCAGCAAUGCCGGGUGAGUGAUGAAGGGCUUAGGGUUGUAAAGCUGUUUUACCCGGGAUGAUAAUGACAGUACCGGGAGAAUAAGCUCCGGCUAACUCCGUG